GGGACACAGAACAUCCUUCCUCCAUGAGAGGAGAAAGGAGAAGAGAAGAGGAGAAAAGGAGGCUCCUCAGCCUGGCAUCCCAGGGCGUCACGACCUGGCUCUGCUUCCACCCAGCCUUCCUCACACUGCAUCCUCCACUCCAGCCACGUCAACCCGCCUUUGCUUCAACUUGCCUGUUUCAUUUGAACUCUUCAACUCAUCCUUCAAAACGCUGGUUAAAAACUCCUUCCUCAUAAGGAAGCAGAUGUAGAGAAUGGACUUGAGGACACAGGAGGGGGAAGGUGACUCGCAGGGGCAGGAAGAGGCUUCAUCUGUCUUCGUACCCCCUGCCUCCAGCACACAGAGCCUGGUACACAGAAGGCCUCGC